CAGAGACGAGGGACGCUGGGUGCACGCAGCUGUCACACAUAAUGAAGCACUUGCUCACCAUAUAGUCACAAUUCCAAGAGCUGUUUACCAUUUUGGAAAAUCAUGUCACUGGCAGCAGCACAAGCUUGUGCUAUCCAAGUCUCCAGUAUCACUCGCCUGUUUUAGCUGCACUGGAGGUAGCAAAUGUCAAGCACCUGAUCACGUCACUGGCAUCCAGAGACAGGCACCUGCACUGGAAGUAAUUACAAAUUAUGCUGCCUUCGUUCCUCUUUGGAUCUCAGCCCUCACAGGUGAAAAGACAUGGAUGCUUCAUCAGCUUUUCAAAACUUAACGCAAGACUCAGCAUACUUCACAUGGCCAUGUGACACACGACAAGUUAAGCCUCAGUUUCCUUAUCUGUGUAAUGGAGAUAAAAAUAGCCUCUCCCAUAUUGACUUCCUAUGUGGAUUAAAUCAAACAAAUGAGAUAAAGCAUGUUUAGUGCUUCCCUCAGCACCCCUGAGCAUACAGUGCUCAAUAAAUGGAAACAUGAAUUUAUUACUGAGAUAGGCUGGGACCUGGGACCUGGGACCAUUUGCUGCAGUGCUUGCACCCGGACAAAUGUCCCCUGAAGCAACAAAAUACAAAGAAACCAUAAGGGACUAAAAAUAGCUGUGUGCAUGUGCAGUUGGGGCAAAUCAUGGACCAAAAGACCAAAAACCCAACUGCCACUUCUGAAGAGCCAGGAGCAAAAGAAAGGUGUUGGGAGCAAAAGCAGGGCACUGCGCAUGCCCCCUGCACUCAGCACCACCAAAGGGUGGGCAAACCACCUAAGCCACCCCCCCGGCCUGACCCCUGGGCACGCCCCUACCCUCACCCCAUAUAAGGAACCAGCUGGCCUGCCCUCAGGAAGCGAGCAAGUGAGCAAGGGAAACUGUUACUUGUCCUCGCUCCCCCCUGCUGCACCAGGGGCCCCAA